GAUGAACGCUGGCGGCGUGCCUAAUACAUGCAAGUCGAGCGAACAGACGAGGAGCUUGCUCCUCUGACGUUAGCGGCGGACGGGUGAGUAACACGUGGAUAACCUACCUAUAAGACUGGGAUAACUUCGGGAAACCGGAGCUACUACCGGAUAAUAUAUUGAACCGCAUGGUUCAAUAGUGAAAGACGGUUUUGCUGUCACUUAUAGAUGGAUCCGCGCCGCAUUAGCUAGUUGGUAAGGUAACGGCUUACCAACGCAACGAUGCAUAGCCGACCUGAGAGGGUGAUCGGCCAGCCUGGAACUGAGGCACGGUACAGACUCCUACGGGAGGACGCAGUAGGGAAUCUUCCGCGAGGGGGGAGAGCCUGACGGAGCAACGCCGCGUGAGUGAUGAAGGUCUUCGGAUCGUAAAACGCUGUUAUUAGGGAAGAACAAAUGUGUAAGUAACUAUGCACAUCUUGACGGUACCUAAUCAGAAAGCCACGGCUAACUACGUG
rnacentral:rRNA from 1 species